GAUGAACGCUGGCGGCGUGCCUAAUACAUGCAAGUCGAGCGAACGGACGAUAAGCUUGCUUCUCUGAGGUUAGCGGCGGACGGGUGAGUAACACGUGGAUAACCUACCUAUAAGACUGGGAGAACUUCGUGAAACCGGAGCUAAUACCGGAUAAUAUGUUGAACCGCAUGGUUCAAAAGAUAAAGACGGUCUUGCUGUCACUUAUAGAUGGAUCCGCGGUGCAUUAGCUAGUUGGUAAGGUAACGGCCUACCAAGGCAACGAUGCAUAGCCGACCUGAGAGGGUGAUCAGCCACACUGGAACUGAGACACGGUCCAGACUCCUACGGGAGGCAGCAGUAGGGAAUCUUCCACAAUGGGCGCAAGCCUGACCGAGCCACGCCGCGUGAGUGAAGAAGGUCUUCGGAUCGUAAAGCUCUGUUGUUAGGGAAGAAAAUAUGUGUAAGAAACUGCGCCCAUCUUGACGGUACCUAAUCAGAAAGCAACGGCUAACUACGUG
rnacentral:rRNA from 1 species